AAGACUUUAAGUUACUAAAACUAUUAGCCUUCAAAGCUAAAAACGAAUCUAUUCAAGUCUUG
rnacentral:tRNA from 1 species